CAGUGUUGCUUCGGCGGUCGACCCCUCCGCCUCCCCCUCACCGGGGCGGCGCGGGGUUCCGCCAGAGGACCCUACAAAAACCCUGUUUUCUUAGAAAGGAUUCCGCUCUGAGUACCAAAAAAACAAACCAUUAAAACUUUCAACAACGGAUCUCUUGGCUCUGGCAUCGAUGAAGAACGCAGCGAAAUGCGAUAAGUAAUGCGAAUUGCAGAUUUCAGUGAAUCAUCGAAUCUUUGAACGCACAUUGCGCCCGCCAGUAUUCUGGCGGGCAUGCCUGUUCGAGCGUCAUUUCAACCCUCAAGCCCCCCCGGGGGCUUGGCGUUGGGGAUCGGCAGCCCACCGGCGCCUCGCGCGCCGGGGCCGUCCCCCAAAUCCAUCGGCGGUCACGCCGCGGCGUCCCCUGCGUAGUACCUCACCUCGCACCGGACCCCGGCACGGCCACGCCGUAAAACCCCCUACUUCUUGUGGUUGACCUCGAAUCAGGUAGGACUACCCGCUGAACUUAAGCA
rnacentral:rRNA from 1 species